rnacentral:rRNA from 1 species
UACGAAGGGGACUAGCGUUGUUCGGAAUUACUGGGCGUAAAGCGCACGUAGGCGGAUUUGUUAGUCAGGGGUGAAAUCCCGGGGCUCAACCUCGGAACUGCCUUUGAUACUGCAAGUCUCGAGUCCGAUAGAGGUGGGUGGAAUUCCUAGUGUAGAGGUGAAAUUCGUAGAUAUUAGGAAGAAUACCGGUGGCGAGGGCGGCCCACUGGAUCGGUACUGACGCUGAGGUGCGAAAGCGUGGGGAGCAAACGGG